AUUGAACGCUGGCGGCAUGCCUUACACAUGCAAGUCGAACGGUAACAGGUUUUUGGUUGCUGUCGAGUGGCGAACGGGCGAGUAAUACAUCGGAACGUUCCCGCUCCUGGGGGUUAACGAAGCGAAAGCUUUGCUAAUACCGCAUACGAUCUACGGACGAACGGGGGGGAUCUUCGGGGCUCGGGCGGGCGGAGCGGACUAUGUCUGAUUUUGUUGUUGGUGGGGGUAAAUCUUACCAAUACGACGAUCUGUAGCUGGUCUGGGAGGAUGAUCAGCCACACUGGAGCGUGAACACGGCCCAGAGUCCUACGGUAGGCAGCAGUGGGGAAUUUUGGACAAUGGGCGCAAGCCUGAUCCAGUCAUGCCGCGUGGAGAAUGAAGGCGUUCGGGUUGUAAACUGCUUUUUUACGGAACGAAAAGGUGCCUUCUAAUAAAGGGCGCUCAUGACGGUACCGUAAGAAUAAGCACCGGCUAACUACGUG
rnacentral:rRNA from 1 species